GGCACACCCUUUCCAUAUCUUGUCUUUGACGUGAGCCAGGAUGGAGCUUCAAACCCCACCACGGGGGUUUACUGGCACGGUGGGCAGGGGGGACAUCACCCCACGAGUUCUCUUCUUAAAACCAAGGUACCCUGAACUCAUUGACCUGCCAGCUCAGUGAAUUGAGGAGCUCAAAGUCCGACGAGAGAUCCUGUCCCCCCAAAAAAGUAGAAAUUGGUGGAGGAGAAAAUCCAGCCUUG